UACAGAGGGUGCAAGCGUUAAUCGGAAUUACUGGGCGUAAAGCGUGCGUAGUCGGUUAUUUAAGUCGGGUGUGAAAGCCCCGGGCUCAACCUGGGAAUUGCAUUCGAUACUGGAUAGCUAGAGUUCGGCAGAGGGAAGCGGAAUUUCUGGUGUAGCGGUGAAAUGCGUAGAUAUCGGAAGGAACAUCAGUGGCGAAAGCGGCUUCCUGGACCAGAACUGACGAUCAGGCACGAAAGCGUGGGGAGCAAACAGGG
rnacentral:rRNA from 1 species